AGCGUACAAGGUGGAUGCCUUGGCAAUCAGAGGCGAAGAAGGACGUGCUAAUCUGCGAAAAGCUUGGAUGAGUCGAUAAGAGGCGUUUAAUCCAAGAUAUCCGAAUGGGGAAACCCAGUAGAUGAAGAAUCUACUAUCAACAAGUGAAUUCAUAGCUUGUUGAGGCAAACCGGGAGAACUGAAACAUCUAAGUACCCCGAGGAAAAGAAAUCAACCGAGAUUUCGUCAGUAGCGGCGAGCGAAAGCGAAAGAGCCAGUAAGUGAUAGCAGUAUAGUGAGGAGAAUGUGUUGGGAAGCACAAUCAAAGAGGGUGAUAAUCCCGUAUCUAAAAACCAUAUUGUGGUACUAAGCUAACGAGAAGUAGGGCGGGACACGUGAUAUCCUGUUUGAAGAAGGGGGGCCCAUCCUCCAAGGCUAAAUACUCCUGAUUGACCGAUAGUGAACCAGUACUGUGAAGGAAAGGCGAAAAGAACCCCGGUGAGGGGAGUGAAAUAGAACCUGAAACCUUGUACGUACAAGCAGUGGGAGCCCCAUCACUUAAUCCGAUUGGAAGGUGAUGAAAAGCAACCGCACUUAAACAAUGGUAAGAGGAGCGAAGCGAGUCAAACCACCCAAAAGAAGCAGUGGGAUUAAGUGAUGGGGUGACUGCGUACCUUUUGUAUAAUGGGUCAGCGACUUAUAUUUUGUAGCGAGGUUAACCGAAUAGGGGAGCCGAAGGGAAACCGAGUCUUAACUGGGCGUUGAGUUGCAGGGUAUAGACCCGAAACCCGGUGAUCUAGCCAUGGGCAGGUUGAAGGUUGGGUAACACUAACUGGAGGACCGAACCGACUAAUGUUGAAAAAUUAGCGGAUGACUUGUGGCUGGGGGUGAAAGGCCAAUCAAACCGGGAGAUAGCUGGUUCUCCCCGAAAUCUAUUUAGGUAGAGCCUUGAGGUGACACCUUUGGGGGUAGAGCACUGUUUCGGCUAGGGGUCCAUCCCGGAUUACCAACCCGAUGCAAACUACGAAUACCAAAGAGUGAUACUCAGGAGACACACGGCGGGUGCUAACGUCCGUCGUGGAGAGGGAAACAACCCAGACCGCCAGCUAAGGUCCCCAAGUCUAUAUUAAGUGGGAAACGAAGUGGGAAGGCUUAGACAGCUAGGAUGUUGGCUUAGAAGCAGCCAUCAUUUAAAGAAAGCGUAAUAGCUCACUAGUCGAGUCGGUCUGCGCGGAAGAUGUAACGGGGCUGAAAUAUAGCACCGAAGCUGCGGCAUCAGGCGUAUCACUAAUACGCCUGUUGGGUAGGGGAGCGUUGUGUAAGCGGAUGAAGGUUCAUCGAGAGGUGGGCUGGACGUAUCACAAGUGCGAAUGCUGACAUAAGUAACGAUAAAACGGGUGAAAAACCCGUUCGCCGGAAGACCAAGGGUUCCUGUCCAACGUUAAUCGGGGCAGGGUAAGUCGGCUCCUAAGGCGAGGCUGAAAAGCGUAGUCGAUGGGAAACAGGUUAAUAUUCCUGUACUUGGUAAAGCUGCGAUGUGGGGACGGAGUAGGUUAGGUUAUCGCACUGUUGGAUAUGUGCGUUUAAGUUGGUAGGUGGGAAGUUUAGGCAAAUCCGGACUUCCUUAACACAGAGAGAUGAUGACGAGGCUCUACGGAGCUGAAGUAACUGAUACCACACUUCCAGGAAAAGCCACUAAGCGAAAGGCUUUACUAAACCGUACUGAAAACCGACACAGGUGGUCAGGUAGAGAAUACUCAGGCGCUUGAGAGAACUCGGGUGAAGGAACUAGGCAAAAUAGCACCGUAACUUCGGGAGAAGGUGCGCCGGCGUAGAUUGUAAGGGCUAGCCCCUGAAGGUUGAACCGGUCGAAGAUACCAGCUGGCUGCAACUGUUUAUUAAAAACACAGCACUCUGCAAACACGAAAGUGGAGGUAUAGGGUGUGAUGCCUGCCCGGUGCUGGAAGGUUAAUUGAUGGUGUAAUCGCAAGAGAAGCACCUGAUCGAAGCCCCAGUAAACGGCGGCCGUAACUAUAACGGUCCUAAGGUAGCGAAAUUCCUUGUCGGGUAAGUUCCGACCUGCACGAAUGGCAUAAUGAUGGCCAGGCUGUCUCCACCCGAGACUCAGUGAAAUUGAAAUCGCCGUGAAGAUGCGGUGUACCCGCGGCUAGACGGAAAGACCCCGUGAACCUUUACUAUAGCUUGACACUGAACAUUGAAUUUUGAUGUGUAGGAUAGGUGGGAGACUAAGAAGAUGAUACGCCAGUAUUGUUGGAGUCGACCUUGAAAUACCACCCUUUAACGUUUGAUGUUCUAACGAAGAUUGCGGAACGUGGUCUCGGACAGUGUCUGGUGGGUAGUUUGACUGGGGCGGUCUCCUCCCAAAGCGUAACGGAGGAGCACGAAGGUUUGCUAAUCACGGUCGGACAUCGUGAGGUUAGUGCAAUGGUAUAAGCAAGCUUAACUGCGAGACAGACAAGUCGAGCAGGUACGAAAGUAGGUCAUAGUGAUCCGGUGGUUCUGAAUGGAAGGGCCAUCGCUCAACGGAUAAAAGGUACUCCGGGGAUAACAGGCUGAUACCGCCCAAGAGUUCAUAUCGACGGCGGUGUUUGGCACCUCGAUGUCGGCUCAUCACAUCCUGGGGCUGAAGUAGGUCCCAAGGGUAUGGCUGUUCGCCAUUUAAAGUGGUACGCGAGCUGGGUUUAGAACGUCGUGAGACAGUUCGGUCCCUAUCUGCCGUGGGCGUAGGAGAAUUGGUUGGGGCUGCUCCUAGUACGAGAGGACCGGAGUGGACGCACCACUGGUGUUCCGGUUGUGUCGCCAGACGCAUUGCCGGGUAGCUAAGUGCGGAAGAGAUAAGUGCUGAAAGCAUCUAAGCACGAAACUUGCCAAGAGAUGAGUUCUCCCAAUCUAAGAGAUAGUAAGGGUUGUUGU
rnacentral:rRNA from 1 species